rfam:Cricetulus griseus cell line CHO-K1, whole genome shotgun sequence.
GUUUGUGAGGGUGAUCUGUCUGUGACAUCUGUGACCUUAUUGAUCACCACAGUUGAUUUGGCUGAUAUCACUGGCUUGGUGUGUUUCAACACUUCUUUCUUCACCAAUACAUGGGAGCUCCACUCCCACCAAGAAGCUGUGUGUUGAAUAGAGGAGAAUUGCCUUCCCAACGUUUCCACCAAAGUUAAAGAGUGAUUAUACUCUGCCACUAGAAUACACCAAACAAGGCCCCAAGGUCCGUUGCAGUAUGUAUUUUCCUUACUAAUGUCCCAAGAUUGUGAGUUUCUAUAUAAGGACAAAAUCUAUUUGA